UUCAUUCACCGGCUUCGACUCCCAAUUCCCGGAUACCCGUGCAAUAGCCAGCACGAACUUUUGAUGUGACCCACACGGCCACAAUGAAAACAAGUUUUCGCGGUUGCUCCCGAGCCUCUUCCACCUCCUUGUCUACCGAAGGAUUGAGCGUCGUUGCUUCCUUGUUUCUCCUACAUGAACCCCGAGAGUUUGCUCAAGAGCAUCGCUCCAUCUGGUGCGGCGUUUUCGUGCGAUAGAGCCACGAUAUUCUGCCUCUCCUCGUGCAAAAUCAUCUCGUAGACUUUGUUCAGGGGAUGAGCCGACUCGUGACUGAGGAUGUCGGACCUCACCGUCCCAAAUUCGAACCCUAGACCCAUUGGAAAUUGGUGGGUCUUCUCCCUUUCUCUCUGUGUUGUAUACAAUUUGGCUGCGGCGCACGUGCAUGUCAAUAUCUCCAGGUCUUCCCAUAGAGCCUGAGCCACUGUUGCACAGGCUAUACUGGAUUGAAGUUCGUUGUCCAGCGUGUUGAAUAUCCAAGAAAUCACCAAUGCGUUGCAGACGUCCCACCUUGCCCGGUUUGGAUCAUCCUCCGAUGGCCUUGGCACCGUGCCAUCGAUCAUUCCAACCUUAUUCUUUGUCGUCAAUGCAGUCAGCAUAGCUCUUGACCAGAUAUGCAGCCGUUGCGUCUUACGUUUGUUUGGGCUUCUUGAACCCGUAGGAUGUUCGCCGUUGCCUUUGGCAUCAGCUUCAAUCCAAAUACGUGGCCAACCAUUAUCUAGAGCUACAGGCAAAGCAGUCAGGACAACAUGGGCUUCGGCUUGGAGAGGCGAAGGGGCAUGCACAGUGGAGCUCCAAGACUGUAUAAUGUCAUUGUCAGAUGAUUGUGCCACACCAGCCACACAGGAUCUGCAGGAACUCCAUGCAGCAUCUGAAUUUAUCUUGAUCCAUCCAUGAUCAGGUGGCUUAGGUUGUGGGGGUGGAUCGUGGAACAGAUUGGAGCUGCUCAUUGUCAUUGGCUCGGUGUGUUCCUUAAAGGACCUUUGCAGGUGAUGGAGUGUUCUCGGGAGAUCCACUUCCUUCCCUGCAAACAAAGAUUCAUUUCUUUGGCUCCAUAACAUAUAUAUCACCAAGGCGCCAAAGAGAGUAAAAGAUGACUGCUCAGUAUAGUUCCUUAUGAGCUGAGUGGGGGGGGCAAAUAAUGAAGUUCACGAUAUCCUUGGGGGAAGUAUUCGGAAGAGAACUGUCGAGUAAUCUCCAUGGCGAUUCCCUCCAAGCAACUUGACAGAAAAUGCAACUACCAUAAAGGUGUGCAAAAUCAUCGGAGCUAGUUCGGUACAACGGGCAAUGGUUCCCGCUUUGCGUGGACCAAGGGAGGCAUUCGUUAACAUAUCUCCAAAGAUAGAUUUUGAGUCUAUUGUGACUUUUCAUCCCCCAAAUGGUCUUCCAUUUAAGCACAGGAUGGGAUCAAACCUAUGUUUUUGAUCAUGAAUGUAAGAUUUCACUGAGUGCUUCCCGGCUGGAGUACGAGACCAAA